AUACAGAGGGUGCGAGCGUUAAUCGGAAUUACUGGGCGUAAAGCGCGCGUAGGCGGCUUAUUAAGUCAGAUGUGAAAUCCCCGGGCUCAACCUGGGAACUGCAUCUGAUACUGGUAAGCUAGAGUUUUGGAGAGGGAAGUAGAAUUUCAGGUGUAGCGGUGAAAUGCAUAGAGAUCUGAAGGAAUACCAGUGGCGAAGGCGACUUCCUGGUCAAAAACUGACGCUGAGGUGCGAAAGCGUGGGUAGCAAACGGGAUUAGAAACCCCAGUAGUCC
rnacentral:rRNA from 1 species